UACAGAGGUCCCAAGCGUUGUUCGGAUUCACUGGGCGUAAAGGGUGCGUAGGUGGUGGGGUAAGUCGGAUGUGAAAUCUCCGAGCUCAACUCGGAAAUGGCAUUGGAAACUACCCUGCUAGAGGGUCGGAGGGGGGACUGGAAUACUUGGUGUAGCAGUGAAAUGCGUAGAUAUCGGGAGGAACACCGGUGGCGAAGGCGGGAUCCUGGGCCAGUACUGACGCUGAGGAGCGAAAGCGUGGGGAGCAAACAGG
rnacentral:rRNA from 1 species